GUCUCUUUCUUUCUUGGUCUUAGAGCAAAACUAAAGCUUAUAUCCCAAUCAUUAUUCUGGUGAUGUGAUUUGGAAUCAAGAUAUCUUGUUUCUUCUUUGUUUUUUAACUCAAUUAGAAGUUAGAAAUGUGGGUGUCGGUCAAAAAAGGCAUCUGUUGCAUGAGUUCUUAUCCUCAAUGACUCACAAACCAACUCACCAAAAUGAAAUCCUGGUUAGGCCUUACCAUGCCAGACCUAUAAAGGGUACCCCAGUAUUGCAGUUCAAAAUAUGUCUGAAAAACCUGAAACCCUGAUUAGGCCUUACCAAGCCUGACCUCUCAAGGGUACCCCAAUAUUGCUGUUCGAAUUAAUGUCUGA